rnacentral:rRNA from 1 species
UACGGAGGAUCCGAGCGUUAUCCGGAAUUAUUGGGUUUAAAGGGUUCGUAGGCGGUUGAGUAAGUCAGUGGUGAAAUCUUAUAGCUUAACUAUAAAAUUGCCGUUGAUACUGCUUGACUUGAAUAGUAUGGAAGUAAUUAGAAUAUGUAGUGUAGCGGUGAAAUGCUUAGAUAUUACAUGGAAUACCAAUUGCGAAGGCAGAUUACUACGUACUUAUUGACGCUGAUGAACGAAAGCGUGGGUAGCGAAC